rnacentral:rRNA from 1 species
AUUGAACGCUGGCGGCAUGCCUUACACAUGCAAGUCGAACGGCAGCGGGGGGUAGCUUGCUACCCCGCCGGCGAGUGGCGGACGGGUGAGUAAUGCCUGGGGAGCUGCCCAAUCGAGGGGGAUACCAGUUGAAAACGACUGCUAAUACCGCAUACGCCCUGAGGGGGAAAGGUGGGGAUCUUCGGACCUACCGCGAUUGGAUGCACCCAGGUGGGAUUAGCUAGUUGGUGAGGUAACGGCUCACCAAGGCGACGAUCUCUAGCUGGUCUGAGAGGAUGACCAGCCACACUGGAACUGAGACACGGUCCAGACUCCUACGGGAGGCAGCAGUGGGGAAUAUUGCACAAUGGGGGAAACCCUGAUGCAGCCAUGCCGCGUGUGUGAAGAAGGCCUUCGGGUUGUAAAGCACUUUCAGCGAGGAGGAAAGGGGUGAUGCUAAUACCAUCAUUCUGUGACGUUACUCGCAGAAGAAGCACCGGCUAACUCCGUGCCAGCAGCCGCAGUAAAAC